rnacentral:rRNA from 1 species
CAGCAGCCGCGGUAAUUCGUAGGGUGCGAGCGUUAAUCGGAUUUACUGGGCGUAAAGCGUGCGCAGGCGGCCCGUUAAGACAGGUGUGAAAUCCCUGGGCUCAACCUAGGAAUUGCGCUUGUGACUGGCGGGCUCGAGUACGGUAGAGGGGGGUGGAAUUCCUGGUGUAGCAGUGAAAUGCGUAGAGAUCAGGAGGAACACCGAUGGCGAAGGCAGCCCCCUGGGCCUGUACUGACGCUCAUGCACGAAAGCGUGGGGAGCAAACAGGAUUAGAUACCCUGGUAGUCCACGCCCUAAACGAUGGGUACUAGCCGUUUGGUGCGCGAUAGCGCUGAGUGGCGAAGCUAACGCGUGAAGUACCCCGCCUGGGGAGUACGGCCGCAAGGUUGAAACUUAAAGGAAUUGGCGGG